UGGCGGCGUGCCUAUACAUGCAAGUCGAGCGGACAGAUGGGAGCUUGCUCCCUGAUGUUAGCGGCGGACGGGUGAGUAACACGUGGGUAACCUGCCUGUAAGACUGGGAUAACUCCGGGAAACCGGGGCUAAUACCGGAUGGUUGUUUGAACCGCAUGGUUCAAACAUAAAAGGUGGCUUCGGCUACCACUUACAGAUGGACCCGCGGCGCAUUAGCUAGUUGGUGAGGUAACGGCUCACCAAGGCAACGAUGCGUAGCCGACCUGAGAGGGUGAUCGGCCACACUGGGACUGAGACACGGCCCAGACUCCUACGGGAGGCAGCAGUAGGGAAUCUUCCGCAAUGGACGAAAGUCUGACGGAGCAACGCCGCGUGAGUGAUGAAGGUUUUCGGAUCGUAAAGCUCUGUUGUUAGGGAAGAACAAGUACCGUUCGAAUAGGGCGGUACCUUGACGGUACCUAACCAGAAAGCCACGGCUAACUACGUGCCAGCAGCCGCGGUAAUACGUAGGUGGCAAGCGUUGUCCGGAAUUAUUGGGCGUAAAGGGCUCGCAGGCGGUUUCUUAAGUCUGAUGUGAAAGCCCCCGGCUCAACCGGGGAGGGUCAUUGGAAACUGGGGAACUUGAGUGCAGAAGAGGAGAGUGGAAUUCCACGUGUAGCGGUGAAAUGCGUAGAGAUGUGGAGGAACACCAGUGGCGAAGGCGACUCUCUGGUCUGUAACUGACGCUGAGGAGCGAAAGCGUGGGGAGCGAACAGGAUUAGAUACCCUGGUAGUCCACGCCGUAAACGAUGAGUGCUAAGUGUUAGGGGGUUUCCGCCCCUUAGUGCUGCAGCUAACGCAUUAAGCACUCCGCCUGGGGAGUACGGUCGCAAGACUGAAACUCAAAGGAAUUGACGGGGGCCCGCACAAGCGGUGGAGCAUGUGGUUUAAUUCGAAGCAACGCGAAGAACCUUACCAGGUCUUGACAUCCUCUGACAAUCCUAGAGAUAGGACGUCCCCUUCGGGGGCAGAGUGACAGGUGGUGCAUGGUUGUCGUCAGCUCGUGUCGUGAGAUGUUGGGUUAAGUCCCGCAACGAGCGCAACCCUUGAUCUUAGUUGCCAGCAUUCAGUUGGGCACUCUAAGGUGACUGCCGGUGACAAACCGGAGGAAGGGGGGGAUGACGUCAAAUCAUCAUGCCCCUUAUGACCUGGGCUACACACGUGCUACAAUGGACAGAACAAAGGGCAGCGAAACCGCGAGGUUAAGCCAAUCCCACAAAUCUGUUCUCCAGUUCGGAUCGCAGUCUGCAACUCGACUGCGGGAAGCUGGAAUCGCUAGUAAUCGCGAAACAGCAUCCCGCGGUGAAAACGUUCCCGGGCCUUGUACACACCGCCCCCCACACCAAGAGAGUUUGUAACACCAGAAGUCGGUGAGGUAACCUUUUAGGAGCCAGCCGCCGAAGGUGGGACAGAUGAUUGGGGUGAAGUCGUAACAAGGUAGCCGAUCGAAGC
rnacentral:rRNA from 1 species